rnacentral:lncRNA from 1 species
ACACAAAAUUCAUUCAUACACUUUGCCUAGCAUCAUGACCACAAUCAUAAUUCAUCACACAUCUAUUUCACAGCAUAUUAACAUGCAUUGUAACUCAAUUCUCAUCCACAUCAAAUAAUCAUCAAAUAGCUCCAUCAUGCAUAUCGGUCAGUCAAACAUUUUCAGAACAAGAAUUAAAGCCAAGAGUACACACCAAAUUUCAAAUUCAACCUAUUCUAGGAAUUUAAAAUGCAAAAGUGUAAGAAGAAAUCUAGGUUGCCUCCUAGUCAGUAAGUGCAAUACCUCCCAUCACCCAUCAGUAGGUGUGCCUUCUUGGAAUCCUUUAGUGGAUUCAAAAAUUUUCUAGCAUCCCUCAGUAGAUGCUAUCAUUACCGCCAUCAGAAGCAGUGCAUAACCCAAAAAUAAAAUAAAAUAAAAUAAAAAAUAAAAAUAAAAUAAAAUAAAAUAAAAUAAAGUGACAUAAAAUAAAAUCAAAUCAAAUAAGAUAAAAUCAAAUAAAAUAAAAUCAAAUCAAAUAAAAUCAAAUCAAAUCAAAUCAAAUGAAAUAAAAUAAAAUCAAAUAAAAUAUAAUCAAAUCACAUCAAAUAAAAUAAAAUCAAAUUAAAUCAAAUAAAAUCAAAUAAAAUAAAAUCAAAUAAAAUAAAAUCAAACACCCAUCAGUAGGGGUUGAUACUCCUCUUUCUUGAUAUUCUUUUCUUUUUCUUCUUCCUGCUGAAUUUCUUCAUAAAAUUAAGAACACCAAGCACCUGUUUCCAUGUUUCAAUCAUAGGAACUUUAAUCUCCANUUUCUUGAAGAUCUCCAUAAAGCUCAAAAAUUUAUUUUCCUUCCUAUGAUAUUUCUUUUUAUGAGGCAGGGGUUUUUCACAAGAUCUUUUCUUUUUACCUCUCUUCCUUUUCUUCUCUUUCCUCAACUUUCCUAUUUUCUCUUUUCUUUUUUUUUUCUUUUUUUUUGAAUAUUUUUUCUUUUUUUCUUUUUUCUUAACCACUGUUUUUUCUCCCUCAUCAUCUUUAUCUUCCUCAACCAACUCUUCUGUUUCUUCUUCUUUUAAAUCUCUCUCUAUCUCUUCUUCCUCUAUCUUUUCUUCCUUGACAACCUUAUCAUUUUUAGAGAUGGUGGCUU